AUUGAACGCUGGCGGAAUGCUUUACACAUGCAAGUCGAACGGUAGAGGGGGCAACCCCUUGAGAGUGGCGAACGGGUGAGUAAUAUAUCGGAACGUGCCCAGUCGUGGGGAUAACGUAGCGAAAGCUACGCUAAUACCGCAUACGAUCUACGGAUGAAAGCGGGGGAUCGCAAGACCUCGCGCGAUUGGAGCGGCCGAUAUCAGAUUAGGUAGUUGGUGAGGUAAAGGCUCACCAAGCCGACGAUCUGUAGCUGGUCUGAGAGGACGACCAGCCACACUGGGACUGAGACACGGACCAGACUCCUACGGGAGGCAGCAGUGAGGAAUAUUGGACAAAUGGGCGCAAGCCUGAUCCAGCAAUGCCGCGUGCAGGAUGAAGGCC
rnacentral:rRNA from 1 species